ensembl:lncRNA
GCUGAUCCCCGCUGAGUAUGUUUGCUAUCAACGCAACCCGGUGUGUAGAGUACUGUAUUUGUUAGUAGCUGCAGUAUGAUUAAAAAAUGCAUUGUGCUUUAGACUAAUGGUGAAUAAGCAAAAAUGCUUGUCAAUUCGGAUGUAAUAUUGGUAUAUUUACCGUAAAUGGCGUAUUUGUGUUUUUUUUUUCUCCAACACAAUGUCUGGAGUCCCAGUGUUGGAUACGCUCUUCCUACUUAUGUCCUUGAGCGAGACACUGAGCCUUCACUUCCAGUGUGUUUUCCUGCUCCCUCAGGUCACACAAGGAAGCAGGGACAGAGAAUGUGGGCAUAUGAGAGAAGGAAAGGAAAUGAAGGAGAACACACGAGGAAACCGACACAAAGCCACAGUGAGAAGUAGGGAGACGAUGGGGAGGUGCCACGUCAUGCCUGAAGCUCCAGAGCAUUCACAGUCUCGCUCAAGGAUGCUUCAACCAGGACCUACGCCCGCUGUCAAGUGGCUUGAACCCAGGUCUUCCAGACGAAGGUCGCUCCACUUAAUCACUGCCUCUGCAGAAUGGGAGCGUCAUGAUAUAUGUAACCAGACCACUGACAGGAUCUCUGUGUCCUUGCUCCGUCAGAGUGGGAUAAGGAUUGAUGUGCUGCGAUUUAAUGUGCGGUCCUAUUAAAAUGUUAA